rnacentral:miRNA from 1 species
UCUUUCCGAGUCCUCCCAUACC